rnacentral:tRNA from 1 species
CCAAUCCUUCCUAUACUA